AGAAAAGUUUGGACAAAGGCCGAGACACUUCUAUUCCUGAAGUGCUACACUGAGAGAAAGGAUGAGUUCCUGCAUGCGCGGAAGAAAAAGUUCGCAUAUGAAAACGUCUUGGAGGACAUGGUAUAUCAAGGAUUUACAGAUACAACAAUUAAUGCGGCUGCCCUUGUAUCAAAAAUGCGAACGCUUUUGAAUGCCUACAAAACAGCAAAAGACAACGAGAAGCAGACUGGCACUUCUCCGUGCACAGUACCUUAUAUGCGCGAAAUGGACGAUAUUUUUGGCGAAAGUUGCUUGGUGUCCAACAACCAUACCAUAAACAUUGGGACAGAACCUCAAGAGGCAUUGGUUGAGUCUCGUGGUAAGGAUUCAACCUGAUUUUUAGACAAUGCUCGACGAUAUGCCAAGUACUUCAAGGCAGAGCCAGUCUGCACUAAGCCGUAGCAUAUGCAUACCGAAUGCAGUGUAUUCACAGGAGCCGAACGCAGCAAAUCCUGUUCCAAAUCGACGUUAUCGGAAAAGCGCUAAAGAACGAUAUUUUGAUAAAAAAAUCGAACAAAAAAGGAAAAGUGCUGAAGUGAAGGCGAAGUUUUACACGAAUAUAGAAAAACAAAUACAGGAUAUGGCCGAAAAACAACAUAUUCUAAUAGAAAUUGAACAAAAAAAAAAAAAACUGAGAAUAGAAGAAGAAAAAUUAAAAAUUUUACAGCAGUCUUUUGUGAAUAAAAAUUAGAAAAGCUACUUGAUUUCUUAACGAAUAUGUAUUGUUUUAUUUAACGGAAAUAUAAAAUCAAGCUUAUCAUAAAAUGAACAUUUUUUACAUACAAAUCUGCAAAUGCAUACGUAUAUAUCACAAUAGAUGUGGAACUGUCAAAACUGUGUUUGAAAUAAACCAACAAAAGAAAAUUAAUAGCCCCAUUCUCAAAAACCUCACAACUGAUUUGUCAGGUUAUUCUUACUCAAACCUCACAAGCAAAUAGCACAAUAAACUCACCACCGCGAGGCGAAAAGAACUUUGCUGUGAACCAGCCGUUUUAUAUAUACACACAAAACAAAACAAAGAAAUUGACAACCAAGAGAAGAAUUCAAAAUUUUAAAGAACAAUACAAGAGCAGCUUCAUUAUUAUGUAAUAUUUUGGAAGCAGCAUCCUGAGUUGCAACGAGGGAAGCUAACUCUGACUAACCCUCAAGUACAGUAAAUGUUGUGGUCGGACUUAGAAGAAACGUUAAAUUCCAUAAGAGGGCCGGCGAACAGCAACCAAAUGGAAAGAGCGUAUCGUGUGCAGACGGACGAAAUAGACAGGAACGAUUGUAUGAUCGGAGACAAUGCUUCUACCCCAGUUCCCUGAGGCCUGGCCUUUGCUAUACCAGUCCCGGAAAACAGGGACGAAUCGGUGCUUACCCGGGCCAACGCAGGUUACUACUUCUGCGUCCGAUGCACACUCCCUGACCAAGGACCGAAGUGGCUGUUUACUGACACACCACGUAGCUGACACCUCAGCAAAGCAAGAUUACAUCACCCGGAAACAUUCCUGUCGAGACUUCUAAGAACUUCCAAUGCGCUGCGUUGAGUACCAGUCAGGUUGUUAUAUUAGCUGCACCCAACAUGGUGCACAGACGCUGAUCAGGAAGCCGCCCAUUAUUCGUUUUAACUUAUUUCCCAACUGACUUGCUACUAUAGGCGGUCGGAUAUACGCGAUUCGUUGACGUCUCCGAAAGCUUAGAACUCAGCUAGAGCGCCUAAAUUUGAUAGAACAGUUCACUUCGUUAAUGGCGGCUGCUUUCUGGGUACGUUCAUCUGAACGGACCGGAUGAUACGACUACAGCAAUAUGGCGAGUGUACAACCCAAAACUCUAGCCAAAUGAUUGGAAUAGAUCCCUGUAACGGUCCUGAGUCAACCAAUGUGGCGCUGUACCGAAUCGAAUGGUUAAAAGUUCGCCGCUACGACAGUUGGUCUGCCCAAGAAUCGCAGUCCCAACACUGGGACAGACACCAGGGCCUUUUGGGCACUCCACUCAUCGAGAAUGAAAUGCAAUGUGUCACAAAGUAAUCGUCCAUGACUACCGUGCUGAAUCGUAAAACUGUCAGUUGGGUCUGAAAAUUUCAGACAGAAACUGAAGGUUGGAUCUUCAGUUAUUUUGCUUCGUAAUUUGAACUCAACACCUAAUCGAAAUACGAAUAUUUUAAUUAAGAAAAGUAGUAGAAUAUAAAUUUGUUAUCUUAUAUUUACAGUGCGAUUCUGUACUGUGAUCCAGUAUCAAGUCUCUAAAUUUGAGAUUUUAAGUUAGAGACAAUUUUUGAGACGAUUUUGCUAUUCUGUAAAUGACAGUCACAAAAUCUAUUACAUUUCAUUACUGAGAUGUUUUUACACUUGAAUGAAAAUAAAUAUGUCGAUAACAAAUAUUAAAUUUUCUAUAACAUAGUCAAAAACAUAA